UCGACAAAACGCAGGUGGCGUUGCGGUAAAGCGUUGCAGGUGUCUGUGCAGCUGCAAUCGGGCCAAGGGAAACAGAAACAGCCGUAGCAAGAGGCCCCACCCAAGGAAGCUGAUGGGCUCCCCAGCUGCUUUUUGCGGUCAUUUUUUGCUUCCUCUUUGCCUCCUGCUGGCCUGGGAGUCCGGGUGCCCGUCUGUCUCUUCUUUUCCCGAUGUCUAUGAGAUGACCGUGAGGACUGUAUGAGAAAAUUGCAUCUGAUUCACGAUAGAUUCAAUAACUAUUAGUUCCCCUGGAUAGAGCAGGUAGUCACCUACGUAUGAGCAAGGGAGGAGGGAACGGAAAAGUCAGGCAACUGGCUGGAACAGACAGCCCUGAGAAGAAAAGAGCUAUUAAUUUUCCAGCGUUACACUAUACAAAGUGACCUUCCCCUCAUCAUGUAUGUAUGAGUGAGAACAGAAUGAACACUGACCGCCCAGCCUGCUAUGACUUCAAACAAACAAAAACAGCAACCACAUGGGGUUUGGGGGGUUGUUCUUUUCCGACUUUCGCUUCUGCACAAAACUUUCCUAAGCCUGUCGGUUCUCACUUAAUAAACUUGCCACUGUUGGUUGUGUGCAAGUCUUGAAAUUCCCUUCCGCACAUUGACAAGAACCUUUAGACUGGUGACAUGUUCCUUCAUGGUGAGCCAGCCUGAAGAUUAUUCCAUCCCUGAAUUACUCCUGGUGAGAAUCGCUGUCAUCUUGGGAACUGGAUUGGAGGGUUUUUUUUCCUCUUUCCCUUCUGCAGGCUUUCCCGUGAGUGACAGGUGCAUGACUUCACUCCACAUGGCUGACUGAGGUUCCUCCCAACCAGGUGGCAGAUGGGCACUCCUCAGGCCAUUCACAUCCAAGCCGUUUGCCACAGGCUGACUCCAGCCCUCUCAGGGCUCAGGGGACUUUCUCAUGCCACGCAGAAGCCCAUAACCCUCUCUUUACAGCCUCCCGGUGCUGCUACACUCCACUCUUAUUUCAAAGUAUUUCUUUAUCACGUGUGGGGAAACGAUGUUUGUGAUUUAAUCUGUCGCUUUUAGCGGCAGGCUUGCUCUUGCAGCCGUCUUCCUGCU